rnacentral:rRNA from 1 species
AGCAUAAAGAACCCGGUGACAGGUGCUGCAUGGCUGUCGUCAGCUCGUGUCGUGAGAUGUUGGGUUAAGUCCCGCAACGAGCGCGACCCUCGCCUUUAGUUGCCAGCAUUCAGUUGGGCACUCUAGAGGGACUGCCGGUGUCAAACCGGAGGAAGGUGGGGAUGACGUCAAGUCCUCAUGGCCUUUAUGUCUAGGGCUACACACGUACUACAAUGGCCGGUACAAAGGGCAGCCACUCAGCGAUGAGGCGCUAAUCCCAUAAAGCCGGUCUCAGUCCGGAUCGCAGUCUGCAACUCGACUGCGUGAAGUUGGAAUCGCUAGUAAUCGUAGAUCAGCAUGCUACGGUGAAUACGUUCCCGGGCCUU